rnacentral:snRNA from 1 species
AUCGCUUCUCGGCCUUUUGGCUAAGAUCAAGUGUAGUAUCUGUUCUUAUCAGUUUAAUAAACAUUAAAAAAUUUAAAAGAAAAGAGAAAGUCACUGCUU